ACUUCCUGGUCGGUAAUAUCGCGAGGUUUGCCCGUGAGCGUGGCUGUGGAUGCUAUUUCCCAGGGAACAACAACACCACCUCAACUUAGCUAAUUAUCAUGCGUUUAAAGAUAAAACUUUAGACUCAAAGUGCGCUUAUGUUCACCUUGUCCAUGCCCGGCAGCGUAGUUCGCAACAGGAAAUCGCUCAGAUUCAAGUCUGAACCCUGUAUCUCUAAAUGUGGAGGCAUGCUAACAUUAGCUUGCUAGCUAAGCAACACACCGCGGGCAGCUUCCGGGAUUCUACGGCAUAUAAACAUGCCUGCGGAGCAGAGAGGAAGCUGGAUACUGACCGGGACUACGGUUGCCUUCGUGACGGCUGUGUAUGUGCCCCGUGUGCAGAGGACUGUCCCCGGGGGAGACUCAGGAGAGCUGAUCACCACCGCAUGUGAGCUGGGGGUGGCUCAUCCUCCAGGAUAUCCAGUCUUCACCCUCUUGGCCCGUUUGUCCAUGUACGUGCUGCCCUCGUUGUCUCCAGCUCACAGCGUCAACCUGAUGUGCAGCCUGCUGGGAGCUGCAGCUUGCGGUUGCUUCAGUCUGACCGUCUGCAGGUUGACGGGUUCUGGACCCGGUGCCGUUCUAGCUGGAGGGCUGUUUGCUGUGUCCAGGCUCAGCUGGCAGUGGUCGACGGUGGCUGAAGUCUUCGCCCUCAACAACCUUUUUGUUGGCCUCCUCUUCUUCUUGAUGGCCAGCUUCCACUGUGCUGAAGACUCCAGGCAGAGGAGAAAGAUUGCACAUUGGGGAGCGUUUUCCUGCGGCCUGGGGCUGUGCAACCAACACACCCUGGUCCUGUAUGUGCUGAUCAUCAUCCCCUGGGUCCUUUACCGACUCUAUGCUCUGAAGGAGCUGUCUCUUUUGGGCGUUGUGUCCCUGGGAGCUUGUUUCGUCGCUGGCUUCCUCCCGUACAUCUACCUCCCCCUGUCGUCCUACCUCAACACGGCCCGCUGGAGCUGGGGGGACCAGACCACCCUGUCCGGGUUGCUGACCCAUCUGCUGAGGGCAGAGUAUGGCACUUUCAGCCUUGCAAAGGCAGAGACCUCCGUGAGUCUGACCACAAUGCUGCAGGCCCAGCUGGACCACUGCGUGGCGGAUCUCUCUCCUCCUGUUUUGGUCCUGGCAGGCGCCGGCCUUCUCCUCUCCACGUGGGACAGGACCUGCUGCUCCGUCUCCUGGCUCUUGACUGCAAUGCUGCUUGUCUACUCCCUGUUUUUUGCUUGGAGAGCUAACCUGGACAUCAGUAGACCUUUACUGCUUGGAGUGGUGGAGCGUUUUUGGCUCCAGAGCGACGCUGCAGUGUGUGUGCUGGCCGGCCUCGGUUUGAGUCACGCUCACAGUAAACUGGAGAGGUGGCACGGACUGAGGGGGCUGUGGAAGACCGCCGCCUGGGUCUUCACUUUAGCUCUGCUGGGACAGACGUGUCACACCAACCACAGGGAGUGUGACCAGAGCAGGAACAAUGUGGUGGAGCGGUUCGGCAGGGAGCUUCUGGCCUCCUUCCCAAAAGACUCACUCAUCCUGACCAGAGGAGACCUGCCAGGAAACUCUCUGCGUUACCUGCACUACUGCCAGGACAUCCGGCCUGAUAUCCGCCUGGUCGACCAGGAGAUGAUGACAUAUUCUUGGUAUGUGACCAAGCUGAGGAGCCAUCUUCCUGGGGUCCACUUUCCAGGCCACUGGUGGGACCCGGUCCACCACGAAGACAAGGACACCUUCAGCCUCGAGCAGUUUCUGUCCCACAACACACACAGGGAUGUAUUUGCCUGCAUCGGGCUGCCUGACGGAGAUCCAAGCUGGGUACGUAGCUUCUCCCGUUGGCCGUUGGGUGUGUGUGACUACCUGGUGCCGGCCCAGAGGCAGUUUCACCCAGAGCAGUGGGCCGAGCGCACCCGCCGGAUCUACAACUGGAGCGAGCCACACAACAGUUUUCACCCUGCAUCCUGGGAGCGCGUUGCUAACGAGGAGAUGUGGCAAGCGAGGAUGAAGACGGCUUUCUUUCUGUUUGACCUGGCAGAGAGGACGCGGGGAGAGGGGAAAGCGCGUCUCUUUGAGCUGUCUUACACCCUGUAUACAGAAAUCGUCGGGGCUUACUCGGACUACCCUCCCAACUGGGACAAGAACCUUGCCCUGGCGUGCGAGAGGCUGCUCCGCUCAGGUCACCGGGGCUACAGUCCGGACCACCUGCUGACCUGCAGCGUUCAGCACUUUAGUCUCUACCUGGAGAAAGACCCCGCCGAUCCCCAGGCGGCGGCCAUACGCUCGGCCGUUUCCCACCUGGUCAAGGAGAGAGACAGACUACGGCAGAGCCGGAGGCAAACCCCGUGAUUGGGUCUUGGAAAACAGCUGAGAGACGGCGAGGUUCUCCAAAACGGAUCAAACUGCACUGCUACAUGUGGAGCAGACUUGAACCAGGAGACCUGGGUCUGGAAGGUUGAUCCAGCAACAACGUAUCUUUAAUGUAUUUCAUUGCUAAGCCAUUCUGUGUCUUUUUUUUUUUUAGAAUUAGAAACUAAUCAAAGUAUUUUAAAAGUUUAUUCUCUAAAGUGUAACUCACCCUGACGUAAAGGCAUAACCCCGCCCCCAGACACAUUUUGAGAAAUGGCAUCGGAGUGGGCGGUUCCAGGAGCCGCGGAUGAGCGGUGGGAGUUUUAAGCAGCGCCUCUUUGCUGCGGCGGUCGGGAUGAGGGAAACGCGACCUGUUGAAACAUGGAGUAAACAGGGUGACGUCUGCUGCUUUUUGUCACAGAACUGUCCUUUGAGGUUGACGAUUUUUCAGAUGUAGGGUUGUAAGCAUUUACCGGUUGACCCAGUAGGAAAAUUCAACUGCAAUAGCCACCGUUCAACCCAGCACUAAGACAGUUUUUAGACAGAUAUUACAGAACUGAACAAGUUCACAUAAAAUUUUAAAGACUGUACAGUAAUAUUAAAGUAGCACCCUUAGGCCCGGUUGAUCUGCAAAAAGGUUGAUUUUGGGUGAGUUACACUUUAAGAUACAGGUAGCAGGUAUAAGAACUUUAGAACUGGGUUCUUAGUUUUAGUGAAGAUGUGGGAAGAAGUGUUCUGGAUCAGCUGCGGAUAUCUGACGUUUUAGGCAGACCUGUGACGACACUGUUUGAAGUGAUGAAUUCGACUAAAGAUAAAAGCAUGGAUGAGUUUUCCCAACAUCCUGCUGGGAAUUUAGUCCCUUAAUCCUAGAAAUGUUCUUUAGGUGGCAGGAAGCUGACUUAGUUACUGUCUUUGUCUGCAUCUGAAGGUUCUGGUCCUGUACUAGAAUCUUUCAACAGGAGGAUGGUGGGUUCAAGGUCUUGUGCAGUCGUAGUUUUAGAUGUAAAUGGCCUCAAUUUAGGGACCGGGUGAACAAGUGUUAGUCACUCACAUUUGCCAUAUAUUCAUACACCAAAUACACAAAUCAAUAGGCAGUUUGUGUUUAUGGUAAAUGCCUUGCAGAUGAGCACAUUAACAUAGCAACUGCUCUUCAGACUGAGGCACAGCCGCCCGGCUCGAAAGUUUCAUAUUUAUCUCACAUAAGACAUUUUUUUUUUUUUUUCCAUGUUUGCUGUGUCCCUGUGGAGAUUCUCCCAGCAGAGCUGUGGAUCUUUGCAGCUCCUCCAGAGUUACCAUGGGCUCCUCGGCUGGUUCUCUUAUAAAUGCUCAGGUGUUUGUCUGGUCUGUUCCAUGCUGCUGUUCAUUUAUGUUCUCUAAAUAACCUCUGAGGCCUUCACAGAGCUGUUGUCUUUGUACUGAUAUUAAAUUACACAGAGGUAGACUUUUACUAAUUAAUUACCUUCCAUUGCCGACCGCCUUACUCAAUUUUAUUCAAGGGUAUCAGAGUAAAAGGUGGCUAAAAAACAUAAAAUCGAGGAUAAAUUGUGUUUUCUGUCCAUGCAUCAAAAGUGGGAACAGAUUGAGUUUAAACAGGAGUGAAUAGGCGGCAAAUUUGAAGGUUUCCUAGAAAUUCUGGGAAACUGGCUCAAGAACAGUGGAUCCCUACAAGCAGAUGACGAAGAAGUGGAGGGUGGCUCACGACUUUUGUA